GGUUAGGGUCUCGGCCAUAUUUGUUUUUGUAUCAUCGAUUUUGCUACUAAGUAUUGCUGGACUGCCAGCCCAUAUAAAAGAAAUCAAGAUAUUUAUGCACGAGGAGGCAAAUCAGCAUUCUGGUGCUAUGGUUUUCCUGCUUGGACACUUCCUCGCUAGCAUUCCUUUCAUCUUCCUCAUCUCUGUUUCCUCCACUUUAGUUUUCUAUUUUAUUAGUGGACUCCGAAAUGAGUUCAACCUGUUGGUGUACUUUGUCCUUAACAUCUUCAUGUGCCUUUUGGCAAAUGAAGGGUUGGUAAUGGUUGGUGCCUACAUUUGGUUUGAGGUCUUCUCAUGCUUUUUAGCCUUUGUGUUUCUUCAUAUUUUAAUGAUGUUAGUAGCUGGCUAUUUUAGGAUCAGAAAUGAUCUUCCAGAACCAAUUUGGAAGUACCCAUUAUCUUAUGUUGCAUUCCUCACUUACUCUG